UAAAAGUGAAUAGUUUUCUCUCAUAUAAUCGCAGGAAUAUGGCCUGCGAGUUUCUACCGAACCCCGUAAAGGCUCGACUAUGAGUAGCGAUAUAUUGGUG
rnacentral:ncRNA from 2 species